ACGUAGGGUGCGAGCGUUAAUCGGAAUUACUGGGCGUAAAGCGUGCGCAGGCGGUUUUUUAAGAUAGGCGUGAAAUCCCCGGGCUCAACCUGGGAACUGCGUUUAUGACUGGAAGACUAGAGUGUGGCAGAGGGGGGUGGAAUUCCACGUGUAGGAGUGAAGUGCGUAGAGAUGUGGAGGAACGCCAGGAGGGGAGGCAGCCCAAUGGGCAAUUGUUGACUCUGAUGCGCGGAGGCGUGGGGAGCAAACAG
rnacentral:rRNA from 1 species